rnacentral:lncRNA from 1 species
AUGACUGCAUGGAGUGCAGUUACCUUCCGACUGGAGCAGUACCUAUUGAUCUACUCACAUUUGCAUAUUUUUGAACUGCUAGGUUGGCAGAAGCUGGGGCUAACAGCAGGAGCUCCUGCCAACCUAGCAGUUCGAAAACAUGCAAAUGUGAGUAGAUCAAUAGGUACCGCUCCGGCGGGAAGGUAACAACGCUCCAUGUAGUCACGCCGGCCACAUGACCUUGGAGGUGUCUACGGACAAUGCUGGCUCUUCGGCUUAGAAAGGGAGAUGAGCACCAACCCCCAGAGUCGGUCACGACUAGACUUAACGUCAGGGGAAAACCUUUACCUUAUCCUUCUUGGAGAGGUUUAUUUUAUAAAAUGUAGACAUUGUGGGUUAAGAGUGGAAAGAGAAAUAAUGGUAACAAGGGAUGAGUGUGGACCCUUCUACACUGCCAUAUAAAAUCCAGAUUAUCUGCUUUAAACUGGAUUAUAUGGCAGUGUAGACUCAUAUAAUCCAGUUCAAAGCAGAUAAUGUGGAUUAUAUAGCAGUGUAGAAGGGGCCUGUAAGGACAUACUUAUGAAGGAUUCUUUUAGAUAGGGAAAUUAAAUAAAAUACCUGUAUAUAGACAUAUGUUUUAGGGACUGGGCUUAGCACAGCAGGCUAAACCACUGUGCUGCAGAAAAUCCUGCCGAUCGAAAGGUCAGCAAUUCGAGUCCAGGUUGGGGUGAGCAUCUGCUAUCAGCCUCAAUUCACCUGCCUGCCUAGCAGAUCAAAAGAAGAAAUGCAAGUAGAUAAAUAGGUACUGCUUUUAGUGGGGAAGUUAUAAAAAUAUGCCCUUAAGGACAUCAAUUGGAAGGACAUCUAAGGACGACAAAGCUCCUUGGCAUGGAAGAUGGAGCGACAGCCUCCCCCCGCCCCCGGCCCGGCCAGAGUAGAGCACAGUCUCCAAGAUGCCGGAAAUAAGAUGGAAAAUGCCUUUACCUCUGUUUCUGUAUUGUCUGUCCUUGUUAAUUGUAUAACGGCAUUGAGUGCUUGCUGUAUGUGCGUUCUGUAAUCAGCCUGGAAUCCCCUCAGGAA